rnacentral:lncRNA from 1 species
AGCCCAAGAUUAGCUCUCACCAGCAUUUAGGGAUUCUGGCCCUUGGCAGGAAACGACUUAAACUCUGUGUACCAUCAACUAAAGGCAUCAUGAUCUUUAUAAUAAUGAUUUCCAGCCUCAAAUGGAUGCUAUUAAUUAGUCUAAAGUUUUCAGGGGCUUGAGAAUGCCGGAUGCUAAGGACUGAAUGAAUGUGAAGUUUUAGCCAAAUCAUAGAGCUGGGAGCUUGGAGAAGGGAGGAGGUGAGGUGACUCGCAGCCCGUCAGUCACACGAGGAGGCUCAGGGCAGAAAGAACAGGAUGGCCACUGUCCUGGGGCUGAGCUCCCUCUUCUAACCACACCAGACCACGUAAUUAGAAAUUACUUCAGCACAUAAACAGGUACUUUACAAUGUUUUUUUGACAACGGGCAGCACGCUUCUCCUUUCCACUGCCAGAGGGGAACCAGCGUUGGCUUCCCAUGGGCCCACCUCCUCUUCAGCCCAGCCCCGUCUUCCCCUACAGAGAAAGCAGCAGACACAGUCACACGGGAACAUCUGCUCUAAAUGUGGGCCCCUUCCAGGGGCCCUGGCUCAAGAGGAGCGGGUAAAAUGGCCUCCUUUAACCUAAAUCACCGCGGCCACGGUGCCCUCCCCCUCCGCCCUCCCGUUCUCCCAUCAACAAGUUUAAGAAAGUUCUCUUCAUAGAAAGCCUCAUUAUUGACAUGGACACCCUCACUCAGAACACCCUCACCAUACACCACUCCAUCCCGCGCUUGUGCAUUUGUUGGCUAUUGCUGCUACAGUGGAUGCUGUUGUUCAGUAUUCAGAUAUCAAGAAACAACUAGCCAAAGUAAGGAGGAACGAGGGGCCCAUGAAGCUCAGUAGAGCUUGUGAUAAUAUUUGCAAGAGAAGACUACCUGCCAAACUAACUUCAGAAAAG